CGAGCACCCACUGGGAAAAGCGAUCGUCGCGUACUCCAGGAAGAUCAGCGGCGAGCAUUCGUCCCAUGGUCAGCAGCAACACGAGGUGCGUGAUUUCGAGGCCAUUCCAGGGCAGGGAGUGCGCGCCGUGGUGGACGGCAAGGCGACCCUGGUGGGGAACAUGCGACUGAUGAAGGAGCACGGGAUCCACAUAUCGGAAGAAGCGGAGGAGCACUUGCGCGAUGUGGAGACUUUGGCCAGGACGGGAGUGAUGGUUGCCAUCGAGAGGGAGUUGGUGGGGGUGGUGUCCAUCGCGGAUCCAGUGAAGCCGGAAGCAGCCAGAGUAAUCAGCAUCCUCAAGUCAAUGGGCGUGCGCAGCAUGAUGGUCACGGGGGACAACUGGGGCACAGCCGUGGCGAUUGCGAGGGAGUUGGGAAUCGAGAGGCCAUGCGUGCACGCAGAGUCGUUGCCAGAAGACAAGGCCAGGAUCGUGGAAGAAAUGCAGGUUCGUGGUUUGCCUGGUGCACGAGCAUGCGUGGGGGCUGCGGGGGGAGUUUGACCUGGGGAGGGAACGCGAGCGCCGGGGUGGGAUUGGAUUGCGUAAUGGGGGAAGCAGAGGCGAGUGAUGAGGACGCUUGGUGAACAAGCAUGCUGACGCUGAGGUUUGUGGGAUGCAGGCGGCAGGGACGUCGGUGGCCAUGGUGGGGGACGGCAUCAACGAUUCGCCAGCGUUGGUCGCAGCGGACGUGGGGAUGGCGAUAGGAGCGGGGACGGACAUCGCGAUCGAGGCGGCGGACAUCGUGCUGAUGAAGAGCAACCUGGAGGACGUGAUCACAGGGAUAGACUUGUCACGGAAGUCGUUCUUCAGGAUCUGGCUGAACUACGUGUGGGCGUUGGGGUACAAUGUGCUGGGCAUCCCCAUAGCUGCGGGGGCGCUGUUCCCAAGCACGGGGUUCCGGUUGCCUCCGUGGGUGGCGGGUGCAGCCAUGGCGGCGUCAUCGGUGUCGGUAGUAUGUUCGUCGCUGUGGCUGAAACGCUACAAAAGGCCGAAGGUGGUGGAGGAGAUAGACACGAGUGUACAGCGGUAGUAGGCGCGGAGCACGUUCCAGUGCCUUCUCACAGUUUUGCGAAGCAGAUCAGUUUUGCACAGCGUCUUCGGGGAGCUGUAUUUCAGGCGGCGCCCGCUCGUGCCUGGGCUCAGGGGCGGGUGUCGCCUCAAACACAGCGCUCUGGGUGACAUGUAAAUAGAUAUAUUUUUUUUUCAUUUUAUAGUAUUUGUGUUCACCUUUGAUAAUUUUAGGGUAGGAUUUUUUAUUCAUUCAUUAGUUUAUUUUGUUGUGGGCAUUUUUAUUGAUGAUUUUAUUUUGAAUAUUUUAUGUAUCUUAAAAUUCUAGUAAUUGAUACUCAAAUCAUUAUAUAAUUCGAAUUAAAUGGGAUUCAUCUACAGAUACUUGUAAUUUAAUACAAUUUUUCUUGUUCAAUUUCGAUUCUUUUGACUAUGUGCAUUUACAUUGUUAUCGCCUAAUUUUAUGUUUUCUAAAGUGAACAAAUCUUACUACAUAAGCUACUUUGAAAAGGAAAACAGUUUAAAAAUGGUAUUGCUUGAGUAAAAAUCCAGAUAUACUUAAAAUGUUUCUCUUUAUAUAACUAUUUCAAGAGUCCAUUCUAUAUCACAUCAAAUCAAUUUGAAAACAAAUAUCAUCAAGCUCCACACUCUAAAUCCUUAACAACGAAAUGGCUUUUUAGCAAAUUGUCAUUUUAAAAAACAUAUAAAGAAAACAUGUUUAAUUUGUUUGUCAUACAAUUCACACACACAUACAUACAUACAUACAUACAUACAUACAUGUUUGUAUGUAUCUACAUAUAUAUAUGAGAAGAGUACACAUUUUCUGUUUCCCUAUGGACAAGGUUACAGUAUUACCUGUUAAGAUUCAAAGUGUGAACACACUUGGUACAACCACCUGGCAUCUUCUAGCAAUGCCAUACCAUUCUAGGCAAAAAUGUUAGCAAUUUCAGCAAUUUUUUAACACAACCCGCAAUACUCGUAAUGAAGCUUUAAAUGGUGUAGCAAAUAAAGAGAUCAGAAGUAGGAUUUAGAGCUCUUCUCAAAGAGGGCAAAGUUGGACAUCCACUUUGAAAACCCCGUCGGCGGUGAACACGAUGCUGUCGCAAGCAGUCAAGGUUCGAAGUAGUGUACACGGAGUAAGCUCCGUGUAGAUCAUCGGAGUUGCGGACAACACGAGCUCCAUGGACUACGAGAGGGGUACCAUCGGAGGUGGGGGGAGGGGGGGGGUUCCAUGAUGGAAAAAGCGGGGGAUUAGGAAACUCAUGAUACAACUCCAAUCAUUACUAACAACAAAAUAACUUACUUUCUUUGAAUUACAUAAGAUAUCUUCAAUGUCUUAUAAUUCCUUCAUCUAGACUUAGAAUUUAUCAAACAGUAUAUGAACAGUAUAGCUUAGAAAGUGCUCUCUCUAAUCCUAAUCGCUGCCCUUCAUUGUUCUUUGUAAGCAUAUGUUUUGCUUCAAAGAAUGACAAUAGGUACAAAAUUGACACUUUAGUUUUCAACACCUAUAACUCCUUCAUAAAAACUCCAAAUCAUACAAAAUUUGCAUCCAAUCCAUAUCCAAAAACCUAAACUUGCUGAUCCUAACCUCCAAAGUUCAAAUGACCUUGGAAGAGAAAUCAUUAUCCCUAAUAAGGACUUGAGUAGCCUCCUUAAAGUCCAUUGGCCAUGACAUUCAACUAAUAGGGAUGAAAAUCUUUUUUCUUUGCCUUCAUUUAACCAUACUUUGCUUUCAUCCUUUCCAAUAAGCCUCCUUAUAGUUUAGACUUUCAUCUUUAGACUCCAACCUUUUCUUAAGCUUUAUACUAAAUAUAUAAAUCUUACAUAAUAUAAAUACUAUAAUAAAAAUAGUUAAACCUCUAAAUAAAUUGUUUUCUAUCUUUUUGACCUUGCACAAUUCAUAUGCCACAUGUUAAAGGCUCAUACCAAAGUCUUAUUGAAGAACUGUGCCAAUAGCAAAGUUGGAAGCUUCAAUGUCAAGUAUACAUGAAAGAUUGGGAUCAUAUGGUUGUAAUAUUGAAGCAGUACAAUCUAAUGAAUUUAUAUUAAUUUUUAACUUUUAUGUUGAUGAUUUAAUCAUCUUAACCAAUAUCUUAAAGAUAAUAGAUUUGUUGAAAAUAAAGUUAAAAAAGAAGUAUAAGAUGAUUGAUUUGAAAGAGCUUCACUAUUGUUUAGGAAUAGAAUUUGUGAAAGAUUAUGCUAAAAAGAUGAUAAUAAUAAUCCAAAGCAAGUACAUUGAAGAUGUGUUGAAACGAUUUAACAUGAAGAAAUGUAAGCCUACAUAUAAACCUUUGGAGGCCAAUUUGAUGUUGAUGAAGCUCAUAGAUGAAGAAUUUGCUAAAGUUGAAGGUCAAAUGCUAGAUAUUCCAUAUUAGAUAGCAAUAGACUCACUUAUGUAUGCAAUGGUUGGCACAAGGGUGGAUCUUGCAUAUGUAGUGAGUAUUAUGAGCCAAUACAUAUCAAAGGCUAGAGCAAUCCCUUUGGCAACCAUUAAAAAGAUUAUGAAAUACUUAAAAGGUAUUUUAUAUUUUAAAUUAUAUCUUGAAAGUAAUAACAUUACUUUGCAUAGUUAUUGUAAUGCGGAUUGGAUUAGAGUUGCAAAUGAUAGAAGAUCAAUAACGAGGUAUGUUUUCUUUCUUGGAAUGAAAGCAGUUUUAUGAAAUUGCAAGAAACAAGCAACAAUUGCAAGAUCAAUAAUGGAGGUAGAAUACAUAGUAGUAAAUUAUGAUACAAUGGAGAUAAUAUGGCUUAGACAACUUUUGGAGGGCAUUGGAGUAGUACAAAUAGAAACAACAAUAGAAUGUGACAAUCAAGGAUGUUUUGCGCUUACAAAGAAUCCAAAGCAUCAUCAAAGACCAAGUACAUUGUCAUUUAACAUUACUUCAUAAGUGAGAAGAUUGAAAUGAGAGUGAUUAAUAUAAAGUAUUAUGCAACAAAAGACAUACUUGUUGAUUUGUUGACAAAGACAUUAGUAAAGGAUAGGCAUUGCAUGUUAAUAAAAGAAUUAGGAUUGAAAGCCUUUGACCAAUAGAAAAGUAAGAGUAUUAAAAUAAGUAAAUAAAAAUAAAAAUAGAAUAAGUUAUAAUACAACACCCUUGCUGCAACAAAUCUCAUUGCAAUCUAUAGAUCCAGUCGUGAAAAUUGCUCCUUUGAAGUUGAGUGAUCCAAACUACCGCGGCGACCAACCCCCUUCACUUAGAAAUUUGCUAAAAAUUCAAAUUAUCUUCAAAUCCAGCGAAACUUAUGCCCUUCAAAGCUUAGCUUAUAAAUCUUGAUGCUUCCGAAAUUUCAAAUGAAUCCAGCAAUCAAGCACUGAUAAAUGUCUUCCUAAACUCGAUUAAUCCAAACUGCGAAGGUUGUCAACCCCCUCACACUCAAAAUUUCACCAAAAAUUUAAUUCAACUCUGAAUGGAGCGAGACUUCUUUGUCAAAAAGCUAACAACAAAAGCUAAAACCACAAAAAAAAUCACAUUAGAACUAAAAUAAUUGAAUGACUGAUGGAGGGAAAUCUGAGGCUCUUGAAAUCCUUGGAGUAAUUGAGAGGCCAAAGGAGCUAUUCACCACAAUGAAACGUGUUUUAAGACCCAAUGACUAUCAUUCGCAACUCAAAAUCCAUCCACAUCCACCCAUAAAAUUCAUAAUGAGAUUUAAAAUCUAAAUGAAAUUAAAAUUAGGAUUUUUGGCCAAAUUUUAGCAUGGCUUCAUCCUUCACCAAAAGAGAAGAGAGAGAGGGCUUGGAAAACCAAGCCUGUCUUAUACAAUUGAGUGGAGGCUCGUAGAAGGGUGGCUACAUCUCCACCCUUGAUUUUUCAGAUUCCUAAUCUAGAUCUAUGGCCUUCAUUCAUCCAAGACCAAAUCUCGUUACCAAGGCUGAUAGCCCUUGUAAGUAGUUAAGAAGGCAUUUUUUUUGCAAAUCUAACUUCACUAUUGUGUUCAAAACACCUUUUUAAGCUAAGAUCGACUACUCUUAUGCCCCAAUCCAUGCUCAAUUAUAAUUUCCAUGGAAGUUUUUACUUAUAAGGAUCUUGGCAAUUUUUUUGUGAAAUUCUUCAAAAUGAGAAUUUCAUUGCUUCUCUUGUAUUUAGAAGGAGAGGUUGCUGAUCUUGUUUUCUUCACUCCACGAAGUAAAUCCGGUGCCACCAUUGCAUUAAAGAGACUCCCAUUAAGUAGAAGAACCACCAUGCCGCUUAAAUUUGCCGAAUUUGGAGGAAAAAUCCAAAAUUACCAUUGCUAACUUUCCUAAAUCUUUUAGAGAAUUAUAAUUCCAACCCCUAAAUCAUGUGAAUUAUUAUAGACGAACUCAUUGGCUUUUAGUCAACCCUUAUAGUAAUGACCAACAACCUUUAAAUUAUUAAACUAACUAAGUUGCUAUUCUAAUUUUCUAACUCUUGUCACUUUAGUCCUAAUUAAUCUAAUUCAAAAAAUUAGGCUAUGAUUUAUAUCAUGAGGGAUUGUAAUCCUAAAAAUUCUAUAAAAUUGAAUUCUACUUAUAUAAAUCCUAAUCUAACAUGUUUAAUUAUUAUAAAAUAGGAAAAUAACAAAAAUUUAAAUUUUAGAGUAUAAUUGAGAGCUAACAUGUGGUGCACCAUCUGUGGGCUAUUUGCCAUGCAAAUAGAAUGGACCCUUGAGUCUCUUACAAGUGAAGGUAGUGUCUUUUUCAAGGGCACAUGGUCAAUUGAAAUUCGAAGAAUAAGAUUCUUAAAAAUAAUAAAAUCAUAAUAUAAAAUCCGAUAUCAAAUCCUCUCAACUCUAAUAUCCAUUUAUUAAUAUUAUAAAUUAAAAUAUUGGAACUCAUCCUUCUUCCUCAAAUAAUGUCAAUUUGGAGUACUAUAGAAAAAUAAUUAGAAGUUAAAAAGUUGAAAAUAAAAAUAACCAUAUCCUCCCUUCUUAGAGCAAAUUCUAACCUAUAAAUAAUAAAUUAAUUCAAUUGGCCUCCCUCCUCCAUCAAAGUGGAUUUGGAUUAAAAAAAAAGAAGUGAAAACGGAAGAAGAAUAAUAAAAUAAGAAGUUGUUAAUUACUACAUGAGAAGCAAUGUCUUUUUCUUAGCAAUUUGGACCUAAUCUAUGUAAAUCAUCUAAUACAAGUUAAGAAAGUGAAAUAAGAUUGAAUAAUAAGAGCAAAAGAUGAAAAUUACUCACUCAAUAGCGUCCACACUAUAUCUUGGGCCUAUCUCAUGGAAGAAUAUUCAUAUUAUAUUUUAAUUUUAUGUAUUUUUAAUAAAUGUGUGAAUGCCCUAUAAAUCAUACUAUCUCGCUUAACUUCAUAAUAUUAACAUCCUCUCUUGGAACUAUAAAGAAAUAAAAAAAGAAUAAGAGAAGAAGAAAAAUUUGAGAUAUAAUAAGAAUAUUAUAAAAAGAGGCACUUAGCUAGUAUUUCACCUUUGUAGUUGCUAAUAAAUUCCCAAUCAACCGUCUUUGAGGGUUGAUUAAUAUUGAUCUUUUAUAGCUUCUAUUUUGCUCUCCAACAUACUAUUUGAUAUUAAAAAAAUAUAAUCUAUAAAAGAAUUUUGUUCCUAUCGUCACACUUUGUAUUCUUUAGACCGUUCUCCUAUUGUUCGUGUAGGAAAUAAUGAGCCAUCUAAGGUCUUCAAUUGUAUAGAGUUGUUGGUGGAGACAUCCACCACAAUAUAAGGGCCAAUCCAUAUAGCAUCAAAUUUUCUUGAGAAUUCCAUUUUUUGUGCAUCUUGAAGUAUGACUCACAUACCAGGCUCCAAUGCCCUCUUUUUAAUCUUUUUAUCAAAAGUUACCUUUCUUUGGCAUUGAAUGGCCUCAAUAUUUUGGAUUGCCAUUUUUCUAAACUCAUGCAAAGCUUUUAAUUGUUCCAUCUUAUCUUUCACUGAUCUCGACCAGUCCAACCUUUCCUGGUUUGCAAUCCGUAAUGAAGGUAUUUCAAGCUCAAUGAGUAAAAUGGCUUCUAUUCCAUACAUCAAUGCAAAUGGUGUAGUACUUGUAGUUACCUUAUAUGUGAAUCUAUAUGCUUAAAGAGCUGCUGUGAGCUUCACAUCCCAAUCCUUCUUGUUGUCUACUACAGUUUUGUGUAAAAUCCUUACUAACGUUUGAUUCAUUCAUUUUGCUCUUCCACUGGUUUGAGGGUGAUAAGGUGUAGUUUUUUGAUGUUGGAUGGUAAAGAUAGAUGUGAUUUCUUUGACAUUCUCAUUGAGGAAAUGAGUUCCUCUAUCACUUAUUAAGAUUUUUGGGCUUCCAAAUCUUGCAAUGAUAUUUUCAUAUAAAAAAAUUAUAGUUUGUUUACUAUCUAAACACUUCACUCCCUUGGCUUCAGCCCAUUUGGUCAAGUAUUCUAUGGCCACUAUAAUAAAUUGGUUUCUCUUUGAAGAAGUGGAUACUAUAGGUCCAACAUAGUCAAUUCUUCAUUGUUCUAAAGGUGCUAAUGGCAGUAGUGGAUGCAAAGGCAAUUGCAUGUGUAGACCAUUAUGUGUAUAUCCAUGGCAUGUAUCACAACAUCGAGCGUGGGCCUCUGCAUCUGUAAAGAGAAUGGACUAGAAAUACCCUGCUCUUAAGAUUUUUUGUGAGGUGAGUCUUCCUGAAAAAUGACCACCACAAGCACUAUCAUGGCAAGCUUCUAGGAUAAAAGGGGCUUCUUCAUAUAUCAUGCAUCUUCUUAGAAUUCCAUCAAUGCCCCUCCUGUAGAGCUUUCCACCUAAUAAGAUGAAAUGUGUACUGUUCACCUUAAUCUUUCGCCUCUCUUCUUUGUCUAAUCUUUUAGGAUAAGUUUGAGAUGAUAAAAUUUUUGUCAAGUGGUUGUAUCAUGUAGGAAUGGCCUUUAUCAUGAAUAAUUUACUAUCUGAAAACUCAUCAUCUACAUCCUUCAUUCUCAAUUUAUUAGAAAUUCUUGACAAAUGAUCUACUUGGAGAUGCAUCUUUCCUGGCUUGUAAUGAACUGUAUAAUCUAACUCUGCCAGCAGUAGUACCCAUCAUGCAAGUCUUGCAUUUAAGUCUGGCUUAUUGACUAAAUAUUUGAUAGCCAUGUGGUCUACAAAAAAGACUACACGAUUCAUUAACAAGUAAUGUCGAAAUUUCUUUGUCGAAAAUACCAUUGUCAAACAUUCUCGUUCUGUAGUAGUGUAAUUUCUCUCUGCUGUUGAUAAUUACCUACUGGCAAAUGCUAUAGGAUAGUAUACCUUGCUUCCAUUAGUUGGUUGACAUAACGCGCUUCUUAAUGCUACUACUCAAGUAUCAUAGUAUAUAUGAAAUGGUUUGGACCAAUCUGAAGGUCUCAGAACUGAAAAACUAGUGAGUUUAUCCUUCAACUCAUCAAAUCCUCUUUGACACUCCUCUAUCUAUUAGAAUUUAGUCUCCUUCUUCAUUAGGUUAGUGAUGGAGGCUAUUGAAGUUGCAUAGUCCUUUAUGGUAUCUCUAUACAAACUUAUAUGACCUUAAUCCUUCCGUACUCCAUUCACAUCUUUUGGUGGAUGUAAUUCUACUAUCACUUUAACCUUCUCAGUGUUUGGUUCUUUCCUUGCUUGAGAUACAAUAUAACCAAGCAAUGCAUCUUGUCGUACUACCAAAUAAAAUUUUUCAGGAUUAAUGGCUAUACCAAUUUGAUGACAUCAAGUUAAUGCCUCUUUUACCCAACUUAAGUGGUCUAUAGCCUUAAAUUGAAUACUAAAGUCAUCAAUAAAAACCAUCAUUGACUUGUAUAAGAGGUCCGAGAAUGCAUAUGUCAUUGCUCGUUGAAAUGCAGAUGGUGCAUUGCAAAGACUAAAAGGCACGACUACAUAAAUGAAUGUUCCUCAUAGUGUGAUAAAGGCUAUUUUAUGCUAGUCUUUUGGUGCUAUUGAAAUUUGAUUAUAGCUUGAGUAACCAUCCAUAAAAGUAUAGAGCUCGUGUCUAGCCACUUCAUCUAGAAUGGUAUUCAUGAAUGGAAGAGGGAAGUGAUCUUUACAAGUAUACUUGUUCAAGGCUCUAUAAUCAAUGCAUAUAUGGAAUUUUUCAUUUUUCUUCUUUAUCAAUACCAUUGGAGACAUCCAACCUGUGAUUUCUACUGGUUUAAUGAAUCCAACUUGAAAAGUCGCUCCAAUUCUAAUCCAACUUGAAAAGUCGCUCCAAUUCUACUUUUACUAUAUGUUACAAUUUUGGAUUCAUCAUGCGUUCUUUUUGUCUAAUGGAAAUAGUACUAGGAAGUAAAGGAAUGUGAUGUUCCACAAUGUAUGCUAGAAUCCCUCUUAGAUCUAAAUAAGACCAUGUAAAGGCAUUCCUAAAUUCCAUAAUUAAAUCUUUGUACUAAGACACCUUGUGAUUGCUUAUUUUACUUAUUCCGAAAAAAAACUCCAAGAAUAAACUUGUAUAGAAGGAUUCGAAUACAGAAAAUGACUAGUUGCUUAAGCGUUCACAUUAGGGUCACACAAUCAAUUACCUUUUGAAUGUAUCAUCUCUAUUUCCAAUAUCUGAAUACACAAGGAAACUAUAAUCUCCUCCUUCACCUUAUCGGUCUCUUCCUUACAACAAUGCAGUCAUACCAAUAACUGCUAUUUCCACCAAUAUAUUCACCUUCAUAAUCUUCAACUGUAAUAUUGUACCUUCACAGCUUUCAGCACACAAUUACCUUCAUUCCAAUCACUGGAAUUCUUCACACAGAACUGCCAUUCACAUUACAGUGAAUCACAUAAAUACAGACUCAUUCUCUCUACUGAACUACAAUCAGAUUUCAGCAUUCAAUCUUUCUUCUUCUCAAAUAAUACCAAUCACAUUUCCAUUCCAUAAUUCACUUCACAAUAUUCAAAAACUCUCAAUCCUCUUAUUCAAAGAAAAUAACAAACAAAAGAAAAGAGGUAGCACCAAGCUUACCCCGGCUCACACUAUCACAGCGAUGGCCCUCGGCUCAUGACUAUCACAGUCUGGCACCUUAAUUAACCUCUACAACUCCUAUAUACUUUUCCUUGAUUCUUAAGAUUUUAAUCGUUGUUGUAUUGUAACACGAGUAUACCGUGAAAAUAUAAAGAAAGAGGACUUUUAUAAAUGUUUAGUUACCUCGAAUAUUGGGAGCAAUGACCAAUUCCAGUGCAAAUACUGAGAGGCCAGGGUCAGUCACCCCGUUACAGUCAGUUGGGGCAUACUGAAAUGCUCCGUUCGAUUCCAAUAACAAGAGUGAGCUGAAAGAGAAAGGACCAAUUCAAUGACAGGUGAACUUGGUUCGAAGAGCCAAUUGGAUCCAAUUUCAAGACAUCCAAUCCAAAUCUUACUACGGGCCUCUUAGCCAAUAUGAGACCUGAAUUGGUCAGAGAAAGCGCUGACGGCGGGAGCCAAUUCCGGAUCCAAGACGAAAGAUUGAAGAAAUUUAGAGGCUAGGAUUUGAAAAAGGAGAGAAUUAGGGUUAAAAGAAAAGAUAGAUUAAGAAAUGAAGGGAGAGAGAAUAAGAUUUUUUUAGAAGGGUCGAAGAGCUAGCUUCAUGCUUUGGGAGGAGAAAAAAGAUAGAAAAUUGAGGUUUUUUUUCUUCGUAGGGUUUUGGGAAGUCUAAGGCAAUCGUUGCUAAAGUCGGUAUUGUAUUGGUGAAUCGGGAUUUUUAAUGAAGUGGGUGUGAUUACUCUUGAAUGUUUUGUGAAAUCGAAGUUACGUCUAUGAUUGAAGAAUUAAAAAGGUGUCUAUAGGAUUGAGUGUGCGGAGUGAAUGAAAUUUAUUGGAUUAAUCUAAUGAGACAGUCAGUGGAUACAAGAUCGUGAGUAUAAAGCGGUAUCAAAGAUUAGCAGUUUGGGUUGUUCGAGGUUCUCUGUAAUGUCUAGAGACCUACCGGCUAGGGCAAAAAGGACUUUGGCGAGCAGUCGAAGGACAUUCGUAUAGAUUUACGAUAUAUUCUUGUAAUUGUUUAUAUUUCAACAGUCAAAAACUGAUAGACUGCUUGAAUAUUAGCGAAUCUCCAUACUACCUUCUACAACCAGACGCCCGGUGCGUUCUCGAGCAGGAAAGCAUGUAAUACGACAUAAGUGGUGAAUCCGACGUGAAAGCCUGAGGUGGAAGGUAUUGGAUUUCGUUUGAUUUUAUUUUUAUUUUUAUGGAAAAUGAAAAUAAAAAUUUUGAAGGAUCUUUGGGAAGAGUUUCUAGUGGGGGUUCUUCUAAAGGAGAAGGUAUGCACAUGGAUCCGUCUAUUACUAGUAUGUUUCAAGCCUUCUCAUUAUCAAUGCAGCAACAACAAAGCAAUGAUCGAAAAAAAGCUUUGGCAACCAAAGCAUUGCAAGCAGUGGUCAAUAAAAUUGAUCAAUUUGAUGGAAGGAAUAUUUCAAAGUAUUUAAGAUGUUAUGUUCGUGAAAUGGAAUUUAAUCAGGUUUCUGAGAAGAAAAUGGUUGAAUUAUUUGGACUUGCUACGAUACUAGAGAUAAGAGACCAUAUUACAUCGAUUACGGAUCAUUAUGGGAAUUCAUGGGAGGUUUUCUCACAUGCAUUGAAAGUCAAAUAUUUCUUAGAAGAUGUUGAUUGCGUUACUAAGAAGCUAUUUCUAGAAUGGAUUGAACGGCCUAAUAAGAAUUUGCAAGCAACAUAGCUACUAAGGGAAUUUGAGAGGCAGUACUCUCAAUUAUCGAAGGUAGAAAAAUUGACAUUGGAGCCGAACAAAGUUGAUCUAUUUCUUCAAGCUGCUGAUGAAGAAUUGCAAGGGAAAUUAGAACUCCUUCUUGAAGACAAAGAAGAAGAUGAAGGAUUAACAACAAAGUAGAAGAACGUUGAAGAUGUAGUGGGAUUGUUUACAAAAUGAGAAAGGAAGAAGGAUAGGAGCAAUAUUCCAAAAACAAUACAAGCACCCAAAGCUCCAGUACAGACAACACCACCAACAAUACCUACAGUUCAACCUUCGACAUCCUUAUCAAAGAAAGCAGAUAUGGGGAUGGAAGAAAUUAUGCAAAGAAUGCAAGAUCUUCAAAUCAAAUUGGCAAGACUUGAAGAGAAUACUUCUAAAAAUAAUUCCAAGAAUAUUUCAAACCAAAGAUAUAUACGAAGAUGCAUUUGGUGUGAUGACGCUUCAUACACUAGGAAAGAUUGCAAUGAAUUUAAUAAUAUGAUACGACAAGGAAUUAUUUGCUGGAAAGAUGGAAAGAUAGCAUUAAAAGAUAGGGAGGAUCUUCUUCAAACCAAUUUUGGUAAGGGAAGAAUGAGAGCAUUGGUUCAAGAUUACCUAAAAGAGCGCAAAACAGCAACACGAGGAAGUGCAAGUUAUGGUGCUAGAGUAGAUGAUGACCUUGGUGGAAGUACGAAAACUAGUGAAUUUUGGGCUUCUGCCAUUUCUACAAUGAAAGAAGGGAAAUUAUCUCGAGAAGCGUUAUUGAGGACUGCAGCUACAAUAUGAGGUGCAAUAGGUUGGAAGGAUCCUGUUAAAUCUCUUUCAGUUCAUGCAUAUAUUGCUAAGAGCCAACAUGAAGCUUUGAUGGAAGAAAAGAGACGAGGAAAUUUUGAUGAUACGAGAGAAGAAAAUUCUUCUAAGAGGCAAAUUCGAGGAGACAAGGCUCGGGAGGCAGCUUCACAAGAAUUGCCUGUAAAGGAUACCUCAGCAUCAUUAGAAGAAAAAAUAAGAUAGACAAAAGAUAAGGACAAAUCAAUUGCUUAUAAGCUACUUUCUGACAUUGAAGCAGCAACAAAUUUGAAAAGAGUGUUGGAAGAACGUAUAUUAAAUGCUAAGAUGGAAUUCAUAUUGAAAGAAGUUUUGGAAAUUGGAAAGAAAGAAUUUCAUGAUGUUAUCAUUGACUGCAUUAAGCAAAAGAGGCAAUUAAUGGGUGAAAUUGGAAUGAGUCAUGCUAUUGAUGCAAGAAUAUAUAAAGAUAAAGAAGAGGUUGAUAUUGGUUACAAGCAAUCAACAAAUGAAAAGAAUGGAUAUAAUCAACGAGUACGUUUCGAAGAUUAUAGUGAUAAGGAAAUGAAAACUUAGAGCCAUUAUACUCAAAAGUAUUGGGCAAGGGCAACUACUGAGGUAUUGGUGAAAGUAGGAGAUAUAGAAGAACCAAUUGUUGCUUUAGUCGACCAUGGUUCUGAAAUAAAUCUUAUGUCUAAAGAUCUUUAUAAGAAGCAAAAAUAGCCAAUUGAUAUGGAACAUGGAUGGGCAAUACGAGUAACUAAUAACACAUGAGGCGAAUUAUAUGGAGCUUGUCCAAAUGUCAAAAUUCAGAUUGGGGAUGUUGCAAUGGAGUAAUAUUUUUUUGUUCAAGAUACAACGUCUUAUCCGUUGAUUUUAAGACAACCUUAUAUUACGGCAACACGGAUGGAAACAAAAGUACUUGGCGAUGGUUUUGCUUAUGCAGGGUACGUAGCAAAGAUGGGAAAGAAAGCUGUACAAUUUCUAAAAGUAACUUCUAACCAUGAAUGGAAUCGAGAUAGGUUGAGAGAGAAACCAUUGCCAAAGAUUGUUGAAGGAUUUAAGGAUUUUGGGGAGGUACCACUAUAAAGCGAGAUUAUGGAGGUACAAAAGAGGAGGUACUCUCGCAAGAUAAAGGUGCCUUUGAUGCGAGUUUUAUUGGUAAAUUGGAGAAUGGAAAUAUUAUGUAUAAGAAAGUUGAUGAUUUUAAAAGAAAAGAAAGAAAAAGAUUAUAUAAUAUUGAAGGAGAAUUACACAAAUUAGGUACAUUGCAAGAUAAUGAGAGGAUUUUAGGUAUUUAUGAAGAAAAUGGACUGGAAGAUUCAUUGGAAUUGAUUACAUCUAUUGGGUUAGGAGAUAAUGAUAAGAUUGUUGAGAUUCAUUCAAGAGAGGUUUAUACCAUACUUGAAUCUUUUCAAGCACCAAAAGUCACUGUAGAGACAAGAUAUAAAACAGUAGAUAAGAAGGUAAAGCCUGUUGCCAAACGAUUAUCAGAAGAUUCUAAGGAACAAAUGAGAGAAGCAUCAAAAGAAGCAAGUUUAAUAGAUCCAAUGAGUAUUGGACAUCAGUUUACUAAAGAGAAUUUUGAAGAAUUGAAGAUUGGUUUUGAUGGUUCUUUAUUGCUGAAGGAAAUUACUUGCUUCAAAAAGAUGUUGGCUAAACAAGGUAGAUCGUUUACCUUCGAAUCUUAUGAAAUUGAGUGUGUGGAUCCGAAUAUUAUAACACCUAUGGUUAUCAUCACUAUACUACAUGUACCUUGGAAUCUAAGACCGAUUCCAGUAUCGAAGACACAUUUACCUAAAUUGGUGGAACUAUUAAGAAAAAAGAUAAAGAUGAAAAAUAUUGGAACCCUCAUUUGUGCCGUAUUCUAGUCGAUGGUUUACGAUACCUAAGAAGAAUGGGUCACUAUGGUUUAUUCAAGAUAUGCAACCGGUGAAUGCAAUAACUGUCAGGAACACAAGAAUUGGACCUAUUGUGGAUGAAUUUAUUGAGGCAUUUGCAGGAAGGGCGAUCUAUUCAAUGGGUGACUUGUAUUUAGGUUAUGAUCAAUUUCAACUUGCCGAAGGAAGUAGAGAUAUAACGAUGAUGAAGACAACACUUAGAUUGAUUAGAAUGUGCACUCUUCCUCAAGGUGCAACCAACUCAGUUGUGCAUAUGAUGAAUGGAAUGAAUAAGGUAUUGAGAGAUUUUAUUCCGGAGAAGACUAUGCCUUUUUUGGAUGAUGUUUCUAUAAAAAGGUGCAGAGAAGGAGACAAGGAUGAAACUCUAGAUAAGAGGGGGUGUCGCAAAUAUGUUGUUGAUCAUAUACAAGAUUAUAAAAAGAUUUUAACUCGGCUUGGAGAAGUUCAUCUUACAUUUUCAGAUAUGAAGUCCAUAUUUGGAGUAUGAGAGGUUGUGAUUGUUGGAUAUUUAUGUAGAUCUUAUGGAAGAAAACCAGAUCCGACUAAAGUUGAUGCAAUUGGAAGGAUGAAAGAGGAUUGUGAUUCUUUAAUAGAGGUUUGCAGGUUUUUAGGUGCAUGUGUAUUUUAUCGAAUCUGGAUCCCUCAUUAUGCUCACAUAGCAGAUCCGUUAUAUAAACUGUUACGCAGGGGCUACCGAUUUAAAUAGGAAGAAAGGCAUAUUCAAGCAAUGCAAAGAUUGAAAAAAUUAUUGAUGUCACCUUCAAUAUUAAGGAAGGUUGAUUAUAAGUGUAAUAGACUAGUGAUUCUUACUGUGGUCACUAGUCCAAUUGCCAUUGGAUUGGUUGUGGGUCAAGAUGAUUCAAGUGGAAAUAGAUUCGUAGUUCGAUUUGGAGCUAAAGUUUAAAGUAUUUGUCAACGUGCAUAUUCGCAAGUUAAAAGAGAACUUUGGGGAGUUGUUUCGGCUAUGAAAGCUGAAAAGGACUAUUUGAUUGAGGCAGUAGUAGUAAUUGAAACAAAUUGCUUGCCAUUGCUUGGAAUGAUUAUUAACUAUUCAACGCCAGAUAUUACAAUGUUGAGAUGGAUUGCUUAUAUUAAGUCACUAAAUCCAGAAUUUAAGCAUGUUACUGGGAAGGAUAAUUUAGUAGCAGACAUGCUAUCUCUAGUAAGAUACGAGAUGGAGGACGAAAUGGUUGAAGACAUUGAUGACGUCGAAUUGAAAUUCUAUUCAAUAUCAAAUCUCAACAGAGAAGACAAGCUAUUUCUUUGAAGAAUCUUAUGAAGGAGAAUUAUUAGAUAUUGGUCAUUACUUGAAUACCUUGACUAAGCACGGAAAUUAGUCUAGAGAAAAAUUCAAAUAAAUAAGAAAAAAAGUAUAUGGAUUUUUGCUUCAAGAUGGAUUCUUAUGAAAGAGACUGAAGAAAAGAAUUGGGAUGCCACAACGAGUGAUAGGCAAAAAGGAAGAAAAACUAAAAUUAUUAAAAGAGUUUCAUGAUAGUUUAUGGGUAGGGCAUAGAGGAAUCUGGGCUACUUUUGCUAAACUCAAGGAACGAUAUUGGUGGAAAAAUAUGUAUCGAGAUGUACUCUCAUUUGUAGAGUCAUGUCAAAUUUUUCAAUCGUAUUCUAAUAUCCGACAUCGAGAUGGUCUUCAUCCUACGUAUCCUCUGGCUAUUCAUUUUAAAUGGAUUGUUGAUUUGGUUAUUAUGCCUGUUGGGUUAUGGCAGAUGAGAUAUUUGGUUUUAGCUCGUGAAGAUUUAUCAAAUCAAGUAAAAGGAAGAGCAUUGAGGACAAAAUCUACAGAGGGGAUUUGUAGGUUUUUGCUUGAAGAUGUCAUUUGCCGGUACGGAUGUGUAGGAAAAAUCACUGCAAAUCUUGGAGAAUUAAAUGCACAAGAAGCUCAUAAGUUCUUUGAAAGAUGUGGAGUUAAACUAUCACUGACUACUACUUAUAAUCCGGAAGGGAAUGCAAAAAGCCAACAUGGUCACCCACCGAUUGUGAAAGCAUUAGUUAAAGCUUGUAAUGGGAAAGUUAAAGAGUAGCCACGGCUUUUGUCAUUUGCAUUAUGGACUCAUCGAACAACACAUAGUUCAGUGACGGGAUAUAUGCCAGUAGAACUUAUGACAGGUCGAAAAUCAAUUAUGCCGAUUGAAGAAAAGGUACUUACUUGGAGUAUGCCACCAUGGGAAGAUGGAUUGACAAGAGAAGAACUUUUGGCUAUUAGGAUUCGACAAUUGGAGCAAAGAUCGAAAGAUGUGCAGAUAGCAUUGGAAAGGUUAAAAAGAACAAGGUUACAAAAUAUGGCACGAUUUGAUAAGCAACAUUGAUCGAGACCUAAUGCAAUCAAGGAAGGUGACUAGGUACUUGUUUAUGACAAUAGUCUGGAUAAUCAAUAUAGUACUUUGCGGAAAUUUUCAGAACGUUGGUUUGGACCAUAUGUAGUAACAACUGUUCAUGAUAAUGCGAUUUACUCAUUACGGGAGUUAGAUGGUACAAAAUUGAAAAUACCAAUUGCAGGGAAGUGAGUAAAAAUAUUUAAAUGAAGACACGUGGAGAUGAAUAUGGAAGACCUUAAUGAAGGUAUAGAGAUUUUGCAGCAAGAAGAAGAAAGUGGUUUGGAUAAUAAAGGCGACGAAGACGAACUAGACAAAGACGUAGAGAAUAUAUUUUAAAUCAAAGAGUAACUGGUAAAUUGGUGCAUACCGGAGGAUGCACAGGUUCAGAGGGGAUAGAUGUCGUGUUGUAACACGAGUAUAUCGUGAAAAUAUAUAGAAAGGGGAUUUUUAUUAAUGUUCAGUUACCUCAAAUAUUGGAAGCAACGACCAAUUCCAGUGCAAAUACUGAGAGGCCAGGGUCAAUCACCUCGUUAUAGUCAGCUAGGGCAUACUGAAAUGCUCCGUUUGAUUCCAAUAACGGGAGUCAGCAGAAAACAAAAGGACCAAUUUGAUGACAGGUGAACUUGGUUCGAAGAGCCAAUUGGAUCUAAUUUCAAGACAUCGAAUCCAAGUCUUACUACGGGCCUCUUAGCCAAUACGAGACCUGAAUUGGUCAGAGAAAGCGCUGACGGCGGGAGCUAAUUCCGGAUCCAAGACGAAAGAUUGAAGAAAUUUAGAGGCUAGGAUUUGAAAAAGGAGAGAAUUAGGGUUAAAAGAGAUGAUAGAUUAAGAAAUGAAGGGAGAGAGAAUAAGAUUAAGAAAUGAAGGGAGAGACCAUGCAUUUAUAAGUCCAAAAGGCAUGUCAUUAUAUUCAAAAUGUUUAUACAUUGUGCAAAAUGUAGUCUUCUAUUCAUCUCCUUUUUUAAUGCAUACCAAAUUGUAUGCCCCUUAUAGAUCUAUUUUUGUAUAGAUCUUAGAUUGAUAUAAUUAAUCAAGAAGUCUUGAUAUCAAAGGUAGUAGAUAUCUAUUCUUGAUGGUGAUUUUAUUGAUUCCUUGAUAAUCGAUACAUAUUUGCAAUGAUCCUUCUUUAUUCUUUACAAAUAAAAUUAGAACUCUUGCCAAAAAUUUGCAAUGGCAUAUAAAGUUCUUGGCUAGAUUUUCUUCAAUAUACUUUUUGAAUUUAGCCAAUUUAUUUUAUGAUAAAUUGUAAAUUGGUCCAAAUGGCACUUGAGUUCCUUCUUAAAGGUCAAUUGAAUAGUCAUAGGGAUAAUGUUUUAGUAGAGUAUCAGCAUUCUUUUUCUCAAAUACAUCUUGAAAAUCUUAAUAUUGGCUUAGAAUGCCGCUUGAAGUCUUUCUACCAUUUGAAAUGGAUACAAUAUGAAUGACAUAAGAUAAUCUUUUUUUUCUAACAUGCAAGAAAGCUUUUGCACCUACAAAUAUAGAUUUAAUUAUAGUAGACUUAUGUCUUUCUACUUGAUCAAUUAUAUUCUUAGUUAUACUUUCAAAUAAAUCAAGACUACAAGAAAUUCAAUCUAUUUUUGGAUUAUAUUUUUUUAGCAAUGAUAAAUCUAAAAUUAUUCAAUUAGAAGAAGAUUUAAUCAUAUUAAAUAUUACAAAGCUACUAUAAUUAUUAUUUAUUGCUUCUAUAGGAAGAGUUUCAUGAAUAAAAUUUUUUGAAGACAAUGGACGACCAUCUAUGACUUCUAUAUGAAUAUGUUUAGUUUUCUUCAUUAAAGAUAUGCUAUAUCUUUUAGCAAAUUCUUCAUCUAAGAAACAAGCUGAGGCUCUUGAAUCUAAUAAGGUAGAUGCUUUGUGAUGUUAAGGUCCUAAAAUAACAUUUAUUGUAAAAUAAAGAGAAGGUUCUGAGGAGAGAAUAAGACCUUCAUUAGAUAUUGUAUAAGGUUCUAGCUACAAUGUCCCUAUUGUAGCUUGACAAACUUAUUUUUUGACAUACUAUUUUCUUUGAUGGUAGUAUUCCUCAUUUUGUAAUUGUAUCGCUUCUUUGGACAAUGUUGAGCAGUGACACCAAUUGCAUGAAGUAGUGAAGAGUACUAGCCCUGAUUAUAUUGCAUAAAUUCCAAAUUAUUGAUACAAAUCUUGAUUUUGAACAACAAUUAAAAAUUCAUUCCAAAUCCUAAGAAAACAAGACUUAGAACUUUGGAAUAAGCUUGAAGCUAGCUUACAAACUCCAAUUGCCGAUCUUCAAAUGAAUCCCUAUUUUGCUCUAGGCAGCCAUUUUAGUGACUGGAGGUUUGAUUUCAAGUAUGUUCCACAAAUGGUUAAUCCUCGGAUAUCAAUCCAAUCUAUCCUAGGGAUUUUUUAGUUUGAUCUUAUCUUCAACUUAAGUCUAGUAUCAAUUAUAUUAAUUAUUUAUCUUUUUUUACUAUUUUUUUUUUUAUCAAUUUAUGGCCUUUCUAAGCCAAUAAAAGAAAUUUAAUAGUUUAGAAGGUAAAAUUAUUAACCAACCUUGAAUCUACUAGCUAUUAAGAUAAGAAAAUAAACUAAGAGAUUUUUAUAAAAGCCAUGCUUAAAUGUCUUGAAUUACUAUUGAACUAAGAUGAUUAAAUAUUAAUUAAAAUUUUAUUUUUGAUUAUAUUUUUACCAUAUAGUUGUGUUACAAAUUGGCAACAAUAUGGUGCAUAUAUAAGAAACUUGUCUUGCAAAUUAAAACAUAUGCUUUAUAAAAUGAACACGUAUUGGAGAUCCUAUAGAACAUUGUCAUAUAGCUCUUUGUUAGAUAGUAAAUAUAGAAGCAAGAGUAAAGCCUUCUUCAUUGUUGUCAUUGCUUUUAUAGUCCUUAGUCUUGUUUUAAGACUUUCUAAUAUUCUUGUCUUUAGCAAUAGCCAUUCUAGUUCAAUAUAUUACUAUCUUUGAGUGAUUUUUUAAUCUUUUUGAGUGAUACAAGAGUGUAUUGAGUUUUCUUUCUUUGAGAUUCAUGUCCUUGACACAUCCUUUCCUAUGACCUAGAAGAAGCCAUGAUCUAAUUUGCGACUUAAAUUCAAUUCUUUUCCAAGUUCUUUUGAGAUACUUGUCACAUAGUCUUAUAUGAUUUUUGGUAAUUGAUUGUCUUCCACAAUAUAUGCUAUUAUGACUUUCUUUUAAAAAUAAUCCAUUUCUUUUGGUACUUUGGCCUCGUUUAAUAUCACCCAAACAACACAUUUUGUUAGUAUGAAAUCUUUUUUGCUACAAAAAAAUCUUUUAGAAAGGAUCUUAGUUGGUGAUGCUCGCAUGGGAUGGAUAUCUAUGAGCCGCUCCAUUUGUGCAAUAGUAGCAACCAAUUCAAAUUCCAAUUAUUCUUUCUUAGAUCUAUUCUUCUUGUACUACACCUUCAAUGUUGUAAGAGACAGGGAUGCAUGUGUCAACUUGCUUUUUAGUAUCACAGCAUAGGUCGUGGUUAUCGUCAUGUUGUCUCCUCACACUAUUACAAUCCCACUACAAAUGGUACUAUAGGCACUAUGACUCACUUUAGUGCAACCUCCACUGCUAGGCUCAACUAAAACCCUAAUCCUAAAAAAGUCCUAUCCUCAAUUGAUAUCUUACUUGCUUAAAUUAUUGUAUAUAAAUUUAUCAAAUCCUAACACAAUGUGUCAGGGUAUUGAGCAUUGGACCUCGCAAUAGCUCGCAGGCCAGAUAUGUGGUAUUACACAUCCUCGCAGUAAUCCAAGCGCCAGUGAGGAGGAGCUUGCCGGAUCUUUCCCGUUUUUUUUUUUUUUGUUUUGUUUUGUUUUUUUUUUUUCCAUUUAUGCACCUACUGCAUAUAUGCUGAAAUGCUUAAGUUAUCUGAAAUGGGUUGUCUACCUUACGCACAGCAAAGGAGCCCCAUCACCAUCAGCCGGCGUGCAUGCGCUCAAUGGAUACAACACAGAGAUGUCGGUGUGACAGCAACACUGAAAUUGAGCACUGCUGAGGAGAUUGAAGGCCAAGCGGUGGAGCUACUCCUUGACAACGACCAGGAUUCGUCCGCAAGACGCAGAUACCCGGACAGAAGUGUUCGUCAUCGGGUUGCUCCGCAUCUGCGUUCGCAACUGUGUUCGCAACGGCAUCGCAAUGCGGCACUGCAGUAGAUGAGUGUGUUCAUGAACCAUUGGAAAUCGUGAAUGGCGACAUCCGCGAGACAUAAGUGAACGUGAGCCGUCUGCGAUGCUUUCGCGGCCUCCUGUCCCGACCCCUCCGACGUCUAUCUGGACAUGCCCUGAUGCCGUGAGUGGGUUGGGGUCGAAACUGGGCAUGAAGCUUCUGGUCGAGUAUAUUUUGCUUGGGUGUUGGGGGCUCGUUCGCUUUGUUUCAUUGGACAGCUGUUAAUAGACAAGCCUGCCGAGCACGGCAUUGACAGUGGGGCCCACCUUCAUGAACAACGCAAGGGUCCUGCAGCUCUCGAGACCUCGAGAACUUAUUCGAGAUCCUGGGAUCCACCAUGAAAGUGCGACACAAGGAAUUCGUUCCGUGGUGACGGCGCAGCGAUUUCGUGAGGUAUAUUAGGAGGGGUGGGAGAGAGUGGUGGAGUAGAGUCAGCGUAGGGAUUGAAAUUGGAUACGGUUCGUGUUGCGCCUAUUCGCGCUGCUGUCUGAGUUGCAUGACGGGGAACGUGACGUGGGGAGGACCUGGUGUCGCAUCAGCCGCUUGUUUGAAUAGGACCUUGUGUCGUUGGGAUUAGCGUGGGCGGGAAUUGAGAGCGCAGGCGUGAGAAUUGCGGUAAGCUUCGGAGCGGGGACGGUCGUGAUUGCAGGUAGAAGAGGUUGUAGAGGAUUUCUUGAGAGGCUCGUAAAAGAGGGAGAGAGAGAGGGAGCAGAAGAGAGUUGAAGAGCGUGAGAGCUGGAUUGAGGUGGUUGUGGAGCGAUGCAGUCGCUGAUGAAAGUUGUGCUUGCACCUCGAACGGGGUCGGCGACGGAGAGCGAGAGGAGAAAGAAGAAGAAGGAGGAUGUUUUGCUGGAGCGCAGUUUGUCGUCUUCAACUCGGUAUCCGUCAAUGCCGCGGUACCCGCUGUCGCCCUUGCAUGGCGAAGUUGACGUCUCGGAGAUUCGCAAAGCAAAUUUGAAGGUCUGUAAUGCAACCCUCACAAAGUGCGGGUUUAGCAGCGGCAUUGAAACGCCGGAGUGGCGUGGUUGUGGAGUUGUUUUGGAGUGAUUUUCUUGCCUUCUUGUUUACGCCAUAUCUGGGCAGGUUAUCGCCCGGCCUGGGAGGAGGGGAGAUCUCUGUUGUGAGUCCCUGUUAAAUUCCAGUAGGAACGGUCGUGGUGAAAGUGCUUGGCGCUGGAAUAAGUCGGGGAUUUCGCGAGAAAAGCAGUGAUGAGCACUUGAACAUGAGAGCGAUGAAUGGGAGCAGAAUUCCUCAAAGGUCUGUUGCAUAGGAGAACCCCAGGGGCCGAAAGCGGAUCGUGCUAGCAACGUUUAGCGGCGCCGCUCGACUUUCUGAUCCAGUGGUAGAACGUGCGUGGGGCUGGUUCAAAUGGGACAUGUGUGGUUUGGCAAUUGAUUCCACGGGGUCGUCAUUUCAUAUGUAUGUGUUGAUUGGGUGUACAGGUUACAGGGAUGGAGUGCGCAGCGUGUGCGGGGUCCAUCGAGAAAGCCGUGAAGAGGUUGCCCGGCAUCGAGGAAGCAACGGUGUCAGUAUUGCAGAACCGGGCUCAAGUUGUGUACAGGCCCGCCUUCGUACAGGUACAAUUCCUCCCACUCCGUGUUGUUCAGAAUUCCGUCGGGACCGGUGAAGCGGGGAUCGUUCGCGCAGCACGCGGUGCAAUGCGGACGGCAAGAAGAUGCUUGUAGCAAUGUUGUAGGAAACGACUUGAAAGGUGUGCAGUGAGGGGUGCUCCAAAACUUUGCAUGUGGUGAGAGGGUCAAUUUAGCAAUCCGCCAGAUGGACCGUGGCAGCUAGGAGCUCAGAAGUAAGAUGGAUGUGGGCAGCGGUGGAAUUGGAAGGCAUUGAAUCUUACACGGGGAAAGUGGAAUCCAGGAGGAAAGCAUUCGGGAGGCGAUCGAGGACGCGGGGUUCGAGGCGGAAGCAAUUGUGGACGAUGCCGGUCAACGGAGCGGGAGCAUCAGCCGUUUUCGUAUCAAGGGCAUGACGUGCACCUCUUGCUCAAACUCCAUAGAGUCUUCGCUGAAAAAGCUGGAUGGAGUGCAAAAGGCCGUAGUAGCCCUCGCCACGGAGGAGUGCGAGGUGAGGCACGAUGCUGGAGUGAUUUCUCACGUCCAGCUUGCCGCCGCCAUAGAUGACCUGGGUUACGAGGCCGAGCUUCUGAUCGCAGGUGAAGAGACGAACAGAAUCCGUCUGCAGCUGGAAGGCGUGACGGCUGCAGCGGACUUCCAGCUCGUGAAAGAGAUGCUGGUGGCUCUGUCCGGCGUGACAUCGGUGGAUUUGGAUUUCAGCAAUGCGAUGGUCACAGUAUCGUACGAGCCCGACAGGGCUGGGCCGAGGACUUUCAUAGAGACCAUCGAGCAGGCGGGAGUUUUCACAGCGAAGUUGGAGGCACCUCGUGGUCGUGGGAGUCACGACAGGGGCUUGGAGAUCCAGCACCACAAGAAGUACUUCCUUUGGAGCUUGGUGUUCACGGUCCCAGUGUUCUUUUUGUCCAUGGUGUUUAUGUACAUACCAGGCAUUAUGGAGGGUCUGGAGCACGGCAGGCUGAACGGCUUGUCGAUCGGAGCUUUGCUGCGGUGGAUUCUUGCGACUCCGGUGCAGUUCGUUAUCGGGAGAAGGUUCUACGUGGGAGCGUACAAGGCGCUCCGGCGAGGGUCGUCGAACAUGGACGUGCUAAUUGCCAUGGGCACGAACGCAGCGUACUUUUAUUCUGUGUACAUAGUGUUGCGGGCGGCUACGUCUCCUACGUUCAAGGGCACGGAUUUUUUUGAAACGAGCGCGAUGCUCAUUUCGUUUAUCAUCCUGGGAAAGUAUUUGGAAGUAAUGGCCAAGGGGAAGACCUCGGAAGCCGUUGCCAAGCUGAUGGACCUCGCUCCGGACAAGGCGACUCUGCUCACUCUGGACGAGGAGGGGGACGUGGCAGGAGAGAGGGAAAUCGGGGCCGAGCUCAUCCAGCGGCGAGACAUCAUCAAGGUAGGCCUACGCGCUGGUGUUGUAGGUGCUACGUUUCAGGCUUGGGCUUUCGCUGGGGGUUGUUGGAUGCGGCUGUCCAUACCGAUUCGGAGAGUCGGACGGUUGGAAACAGAGUCGGGUUUGUAUGUGGGCCAUUGUAGAAGCUUGUGCUAGAGAGUUGCGGUGCGUGUCGUUCCCGUGAAGCGGUCCUAGUGGGUAGCGUGGCAGCCAUGAUUGUAGUUGUGCCCGUUCUUGCAAUGAAAAGUCGUUUUGGCUUGCGCAGGUGGUACCGGGCUCGAAAGUGCCCACGGACGGUGUGGUGGUGUGGGGACAAUCCUUCGUGAACGAGAGCAUGAUAACAGGCGAAGCCCGCCCCGUACCGAAGAAAUUAGGGGACAAGGUGAUAGGAGGCACCAUGAACGACCACGGCGUGAUACACAUUCGAGCCACACACGUAGGGGCGGAGACCGCAUUGGCACAAAUUGUGCGGCUGGUGGAAGCCGCCCAAAUGGGCAAAGCCCCGGUCCAGAAGUAUGCGGAUCGCAUCUCCACUUACUUCGUCCCCGCCGUGGUGGUCGCGGCUUUCGUCACGUGGCUGGCUUGGUACGUUGGAGGCAAAGCACGCUCGUACCCAAAGUCAUGGAUUCCGGCUGCGAUGGACGAGUUCGAGCUGGCACUUCAGUUCGGGAUAUCAGUGCUCGUCAUCGCGUGCCCCUGCGCCCUCGGCCUGGCCACACCCACCGCAAUAAUGGUUGCCACAGGGAAGGGCGCGACGCAGGGGAUCCUGAUCAAAGGGGGUCAGGCACUGGAGGCUGCACACAAGGUGAAGACGGUGGUUUUCGACAAGACCGGGACGCUGACAAUCGGGAAGCCCAUCGUCGUUCACACCAAGCUGCUCACGAACAUUCCUCUGCACGUGUUCUACGACACAAUCGCAGCAGCGGAGGUCAACAGCGAGCACCCACUGGGAAAAGCGAUCGUCGCGUACUCCAGGAAGAUCAGCGGCGAGCAUUCGUCCCAUGGUCAGCAGCAACACGAGGUGCGUGAUUUCGAGGCCAUUCCAGGGCAGGGAGUGCGCGCCGUGGUGGACGGCAAGGCGACCCUGGUGGGGAACAUGCGACUGAUGAAGGAGCACGGGAUCCACAUAUCGGAAGAAGCGGAGGAGCACUUGCGCGAUGUGGAGACUUUGGCCAGGACGGGAGUGAUGGUUGCCAUCGAGAGGGAGUUGGUGGGGGUGGUGUCCAUCGCGG
rnacentral:lncRNA from 1 species